rnacentral:rRNA from 1 species
AUACGGAGGGUCCAAGCGUUAUCGGGAAUCAUUGGGUUUAAAGGGUCCGCAGGCGGUCAAUUAAGUCAGAGGAGAAAGCCCAUCGCUCAACGAUGGAACUGCCUUUGAUACUGGUUGACUUGAGUGAUACGGAAGUAGAUAGAAUAAGUAGUGUAGCGGUGAAAUGCAUAGAUAUUACAUAGAAUACCGAUUGCGAAGGCAGUCUACUACGUAUAUACUGACGCUGAGGGACGAAAGCGUGGGGAGCGAACAGGAUUAGAUACCCUUGUAGUCC